rnacentral:misc_RNA from 1 species
AAUUCUCAAUCCUCUUCAGUUUUGUCUGAUGAGCUUUGGAUAUGGAGGGUUGCAGGCCUUGUAAAUAGGUCAGCUCCUCUGAAAAGCAUUAGUGGAACCGUUUGCAGUUGUCCACAGGUGUGAUAAUUAUCUACGCCAUCGGGGACUGCUCUCUGUUGUUGUUCUGCUUCUAACCGUCCAGCAGGACAGACUUCAUUACUGAAC